rnacentral:tRNA from 1 species
UCCCGUGUGGCUCAGUUGGUAGAGCAUGGUGUUUGCAACGCCAGGGUUGUGGGUUUGAUUAUCACGGGGG